GUAGUCAUAUGCUUGUCUCAAAGAUUAAGCCAUGCAUGUCUAAGUAUAAGCAAUUAUACGGCGAAACUGCGAAUGGCUCAUUAUAUAAGUUAUCGUUUAUUUGAUAGCACCUUACUACUUGGAUAACCGUGGUAAUUCUAGAGCUAAUACAUGCUAAAAAUCCCGACUUCGGAAGGGAUGUAUUUAUUAGAUUAAAAACCAAUGCCCUCUGGGCUCUCUGGUGAUUCAUGAUAACUUCUCGAAUCGCAGGGCCUUGCGCCGGCGAUGGUUCAUUCAAAUUUCUUCCCUAUCAACUUUCGAUGUUUGGGUAGUGGCCAAACAUGGUUGCAACGGGUAACGGAGGGUUAGGGCUCGACCCCGGAGAAGGAGCCUGAGAAACGGCUACUACAUCCAAGGAAGGCAGCAGGCGCGCAAAUUACCCAAUCCCGACACGGGGAGGUAGUGACAAUAAAUACUGAUACAGGGCUCUUUUGGGUCUUGUAAUUGGAAUGAGUACAAUUUAAAUCCCUUAACGAGGAACAAUUGGAGGGCAAGUCUGGUGCCAGCAGCCGCGGUAAUUCCAGCUCCAAUAGCGUAUAUUAAAGUUGUUGUGGUUAAAAAGCUCGUAGUUGAACCUUGGGCCUGGCUGGCCGGUCCGCCUCACCGCGUGCACUGGUCCGGCCGGGCCUUUCCCUCUGUGGAACCCCAUGCCCUUCACUGGGUGUGGCGGGGAAACAGGACUUUUACUUUGAAAAAAUUAGAGUGCUCCAGGCAGGCCUAUGCUCGAAUACAUUAGCAUGGAAUAAUGAAAUAGGACGUGCGGUUCUAUUUUGUUGGUUUCUAGGACCGCCGUAAUGAUUAAUAGGGACAGUCGGGGGCAUCAGUAUUCAAUUGUCAGAGGUGAAAUUCUUGGAUUUAUUGAAGACUAACUACUGCGAAAGCAUUUGCCAAGGAUGUUUUCAUUAAUCAGGAACGAAAGUUAGGGGAUCGAAGACGAUCAGAUACCGUCGUAGUCUUAACCAUAAACUAUGCCGACUAGGGAUCGGACGAUGUUAUUUUUUGACUCGUUCGGCACCUUACGAGAAAUCAAAGUGCUUGGGCUCCAGGGGGAGUAUGGUCGCAAGGCUGAAACUUAAAGGAAUUGACGGAAGA
rnacentral:rRNA from 1 species